rnacentral:rRNA from 1 species
AGUGAACGCUGGCGAUAGGCCUAACACAUGCAAGUCGAACGGCAGCACAGUAAGAGCUUGCUCUUACGGGUGGCGAGUGGCGGGCGGGUGAGGAAUACAUCGGAAUCUACUUUUUCGUGGGGGUUAACGUAGGGAAACUUACGCUAAUACCCCAUCCGACCUCCGGGUGAAAGCAGGGGAUCUUCGGACCUUGCGCGAUUGAAUGCGCCGAUGUCGGAUUAGCUAGUUGGCGGGGUAAAGGCCCACCAAGGCGACGAUCCGUAGCUGGUCUGAGAGGAUGAUCAGCCACGCUGGAACUGAGACACGGUCCAGACUCCUACGGGAGGCACCAGUGGGGAAUAUUGGACAAUGGGCGCAAGCCUGAUCCAGCCAUACCGCGUGGGUGAAGAAGGCCUUCGGGUUGUAAAGCCCUUUUGUUGGGAAAGAAAAGCAGCAGGUUAAUACCCCGCUGUUCUGACGGUACCCAAAGAAUAAGCACCGGCUAACUUCGUG